rnacentral:lncRNA from 1 species
CUCUCUCUCUCUCACUUUCUCCUUUUCUCCCUUCCUUCCUUCUUUUAUUUCUUUUUCACUUUCAGACUUCCACUGGUGCUCAGGAUACAUGGAGCAGCAUCAGGGGAGUAAGGAAAAGUCUGGAGCUCUCUGAUCAUUUCAGAGACCUCUCCUGGGGCUCACGGGUUAGGGCAAACCACAAGCCCAUGGCUGCUACACAGAAAUGUGGACCAGCCCUUCUACUGAUAUGGAGAAGCCAAGCCCAGAAGAUUCAUUUGACCAUUACUAAGCAAUAGAGGAAAAUGAGGAUAGUGCCUGACAGCACAUGAAGCUGACCCAAGCUGGCCCUGUGUCCCAGAAGGGUUAGAAGACAACUCAUAUAGCAGUUAAUAAAGGACAAGAAAGCUCUUUUGAUAUCUCCUUAUUUGGAAUCCCAAAGCAUAUGACUCUAACACUGCUCUCUACUAAAGGACAAAUAGGACCCUGUGAGGUUGAAAAGGAAGAAAGACAGAGAGAGAGAGAACCAGAGACAGACAGCCCCAGAGAUGGACAGAGACUUAAAGAAAUUGUCUCACGUAAUUGUGAGUCCGAAAUCUGCAGGGCAGGCUUACAGGCUGGAAAUUCAGGUAAGAGUUGAUGUAGCAGCCUUGAGUUAAAAGACUGGAAACUUAAGCAGAAUUUCUAUGUUACGGUCUGGAGGCUUAAUUCCUUCUUCUUUGGGGGACCUCAGUCUUUGCUGCUAAAGCUUUCAACUGAUUGGAUGAGGCCCACCCA